GGGGGUGCCCUGGUUUCGACGAGAUAACUGACGGGUUUCCGGGCGUGUCCAGGUUGGUCUCCACGGUCCUGGUAAAAAGGAGACCAAAUCUUAAUUGCAGAUGAUUAUGCAAUGCCAAUGGCUGCCUAAUAAUUAGGAUUUAGCUUUGUGAGGCGCUGCGGCCAAGAAACAGAAAGCAGCAAAGCAGUUCAGUAGGCUGUCGAACUCUACUGGUAGGUUGUCGGGUCACCUUCUAAAAACACACCGAGGUUCGUCGAGUGCACGUAACUCGAACAGCCUUGUCUUCUGGCGAUAACCGAAGACUACACACGUAGGCCGCACUUCAGACGUUGUUUCGGACGUGGGUUCGAUUCCCACCACCUCCACCA
rnacentral:tmRNA from 1 species